GCCAGCGAGGGUGGAAGAAAACCUGGACACCACCACAUUCCUCCUCCCUACCCCCAUGUCUGGAAAUUAAUUGUUGGAUUUUUCCUUUCCUCUCUCCUUUCUUUACCCCCUUCCCCAUGUUUCUUUCUCUUAAGGAGUUCCCGCUUGGGUGGUCAAGCCCGUCCUGAUACUGAAUGGUACAGUGAGGAGUGGCCACCCAAGGGAGGCAGUCUCGGAGGUCACAGGAGUUCCAGGAACUCCGUUACUUGCAUGGAGAGGAAGUUUGCAAGAGAAUUUGGCAGUUCUGCUGGAUCAAGCAAAUAAAGAUUGGCAACUGGAGCUAGAGCUGGAUUUGACAACUGGAUAUGAGAAUCGAACCAAAGCUCCCUGUGUCCACCUGGUUGGCAGAAUGCUUCUCCAGCACAGAAGGAACUGGUACACACGUGGGAUUCAAGCACUCAGGAGCUGGAGGCAGAGCACCAGAAGCUCAGGUAUAAGGGGUUCAGGGUCAGCCUAGGGCACAUGAGAUCCUGCCGAAAGCAACAACCAAACUCAACGUGUUGAACUAUAUUCAGCUGAAGAUCAGAUAGUGCAGUGGAUGACAGAGCUGUUAAGAACAAGUAAUGAAGACUUGGGCCCUUGUCUCAAUUGUUAAGCUAUGAUAGUAUUCUUAAAAACAUCCAACUCUUAUAGAGUUCCUUAAUUAUGAAAAUUUCUUUUAUACAGUUUAGUACUCCUGGUUUUGCUGUGAAAAUUGAAUAUGGAUUUGUAGAAAUUUGUACCAAAAUGUAGAAAAACUGCCAAUGAACUUCAAUGGAAAUCUUUAUGUACUAUUACAAUGAAAUGCUGUUAAUUCAUGUUGCUUACAUUAAAGACUAUUUUCAACUUUAAAUAUUUUAAAUAAAUGAUUCUGAAGUCCC
rnacentral:lncRNA from 1 species